CAGCCGCCGCGGGAAUACGAAGGGUGCAAGCGUUACUCGGAAUUACUGGGCGUAAAGCGUGCGUAGGUGGUGAGUUAAGUCUGCUGUGAAAUCCCCGGGCUCAACCUGGGAAUGGCAGUGGAUACUGGCUCGCUAGAGUGUGUCAGAGGAUGGUGGAAUUCCCGGUGUAGCGGUGAAAUGCGUAGAGAUCGGGAGGAACAUCAGUGGCGAAAGCGGCUCACUGGACCAUAACUGACGCUGAGGCACGAAAGCUAGGGGAGCAAACAGGAUUAGAUACCCCAGUAGUCCCUGUCUCUUAUAC
rnacentral:rRNA from 1 species